ACUCCUACGGGAGGCAGCAGUGGGGAAUAUUGCACAAUGGGCGCAAGCCUGAUGCAGCAACGCCGUGUGAGUGAAGAAGGUUUUCGGAUCGUAAAGCUCUGUCGUAAGGGAAGAAAAAUGACGGUACCUUAGGAGGAAGCCCGGCUAACUACGUGCCAGCAGCCGCGGUAAUACGUAGGGGCAAGCGUUAUCCGGAAUCACGUGGGCGUAAAGGGUGCGUAGGCGGCUUGACAAGCCAGGGGUGAAAGGCAUUGGCUCAACCAAUGUAAGCCUUUGGAACUGUUAAGCUUGAGUGCAGGAGAGGUAAGUGGAAUUCCUAGUGUAGAGGUGAAAUUCGUAGAUAUUAGGAGGAACACCGAGUGGCGAAGGCGACUUACUGGACUGUAACUGACGCUGAUGCACGAAAGCGUGGGUAG
rnacentral:rRNA from 1 species